UCUAAUGUUAAAGAUUUUUCUUGGUGUAUUUUUCCCCCAAAUGCAGUGUCGUAUGCAAGUAUGUUUACGACAAGGGCAUAUCAUGCAUUACUUACAGGAAAACAACACACGAUGCCCUGUUGCAGCUUGCCCUGCAAAAUUGAAGUCAGAUAAAGUGAAGGAUGAUCCAUUGUUAGCCGCUGAUAUUGAUGAAUUGAGUAAAACGCAGAAUCAGAUUGUCAUGACUGAUGUGAUGGACGUCACCGAGUUUGAAGAGUGAUUGGAUGAUUUCGGGAUGUGAAAAGUUUCUAAAAUGACAUUUCAGCUUAGGCUAUUUCAACAUGCUUUUAGGUCGUUGUGAAGUAGUCGUGUUUUCUGUAGAAUGGUUUUGUAUAGAGUGACCUGGUUUUAUGAUAUUGCAUAUGUAGUACCAGUAGUUGAAAGCACCUCCAGUUCCUUC